UUGAAAAAAUCAAUAAAUUUACAAAUAUAUUUAGCCUAAUAAAGGUAUUAAAAAGAGCUUGUGACAAAAUCUUUUUGGAUCCGCUCAAACUGUCAGUCAAACCUCUUAACUCCGCCCCCUGAGUGCAGCGAACUGAAGUUCCACAGCAGAGCAGCUGAACGUCUUACUACGGUUUUCUGCCUGUCCCUCCGUCACCUCCAGCUCCAGUGGGAUGCAGGACACUUCCCGCCCCUCUGCUGCUCAGGUGAGGAGAUCUCACAGAGUUUGCCUGCGUGUGACGGCUGGCUGAUACCCGAGCCAAGAGGAAUGACAUUGCACAAGGACACAUCAUCUUAUUCAUGGGCCCUGUAGCAUUAUCAUGCAUAUUACACACUCUCUCUUUCUAUCUGCACUGUAUGCAUGUGUACUACAGCACUUCAUGCUUCGUUUGGCGCCUGUAUUUCCCUUGGUAUCAAUAAAUGCAUCCGUCUAUUUAUCUAAGUAGUAAUUCCUUCAAUAUGUCAAUGUUAAAAUGGUUUAAGUGGCCUAAUUUUGUCUUCAAUUACAUUGAAUUAAAUUUAAUGUUCAUCUAUGACAUAUUUACUAUCCACACAGAUAGAUUUUCAUUCAAAACAUUUUAAAAGAUUUUUUUCUAUCCAAAGCUUAAAGGGGAAUUAAUUGAAUUUGAAUAAUUACAAGUCUGUGAUUUAAAGAUGCUCUUAGGGGAAGAAAAUGUUUUUGGCUUAUAUAAAGGCAGCAAGCAUUGCAUUUUUCCACAUUUUCUGUUCUCGUUUUCUC